ensembl:processed_transcript
AAGCUCAGGCAGAACAUCAGAACAAGUCUGGAUUUUCCUUCCAGGCAGAUGGUGAUCAAUCCACACAUUCCAUAAUCCCAGCAAUAAAAGAUUUUCAAACAGUUAUCAAAAUGGACCAGAGGUUGUUACUGAGAGUCAUCAUCGCUGAAGAUGAUAUAACAUUGUCAUCACCCACCACAACAUUAGACACUGAGGGCAGCACAGCAGACACUGAGAUCCUGUCGCCUGUAGGAGCAUCACCAUCGCUAAGACAACAGUGACCAGAGUUCUUUGACAUACCCAAUUAGCACUCUUCAUAGAGAGACAGGUGUUUGCUGAGUUUAAUAGAAUCGCCAGUAAGAAUCUUGAGAGAAACUUCUUUGAGGCUCUGGACCAGGAUGCCCCACGGUUCAUUGAACUUUUCAAAACAAAAAAGGGAACUGUUGGCCAGAUACUCAGGGAGCUGAUGCAGCACAUGAGCUGGAUGACACCAGACGUCACAGUACUUCGCUCUGUUGUCCUCAAAGGCAUUCCCAUUUUACUCGGUGAUGACUCCAGUGAAUUUUACAAGACCUGCUCUGAUACAGAGAGAGACGAGGCCCUAGAAUGCAUCACUGUUGGUGUGCUGACAGUUGUCAGUGAAGAUAGUCCUCACGAGGGUCAAAGCUCAGUGGACCUCCAGCCCAUCUCCACUGCCAUCAUUCUGGAGGGAAUUAUUGUCAUGGAUCAUAUUAAAAACUUGCCUCAGGCAGUUUGUCUUUUGUUUGGUCUUACAUAUGCAUUGCAUUUGGAUAACCCAAAAUGCAUGGCAAAUACACUCAACUUCAUUCAGACUGUGAUGCUUGGACUGGUAAAGAAAAACUUCCCACCAAAGCUGUUAACUCU